rnacentral:lncRNA from 1 species
GCUCUAUCUCAAAGAAAAUAUAUUUUGCUAUUGUAAUUGGUGCUCUUUAAAUCUUAUUUUUUCUACUAGUUGCAAUCUUCUAAAAUUAAUAUGAUAGAUACACAAGUUGUGCUUCAAUGGUCCUCCAAUUCUAAUGAGGUCGAACUGGAUUUUUUUGUUUUGCAUCAAUGGCUUUUUUAUUAUAUUACGGCUUUGGUGGUUUU